UCUAGAUGGGUACUGUAUAGAAGGGACAAAGACGGACACGGAGGAGGUGUGGCAAUUUAUUGCAAGGUAUAUCUUUAAAUGUGACUAGUGAAUCACGUGUCAGUUGUGCACAGACCUGUGGGAAUGGGAUCAAACAAUUCAGAUGUCAGUAAGACAUUUCAUAAAGUCUGGCAUGAUGGUCUUCUGUGUAGUCGGAGCAGUUGGGCAUCGAAGAUCCCUUACUUACGUGGUUAAAAGAUUACGUGUGUGAUAGGGA